rnacentral:rRNA from 1 species
GACGAACGCUGGCGGCGUGCCUAAUACAUGCAAGUAGAACGCUGAAGGAGGAGCUUGCCUCUCUGGAUGAGUUGCGAACGGGUGAGUAACGCGUAGGUAACCUGCCUGGUAGCGGGGGAUAACUAUUGGAAACGAUAGCUAAUACCGCAUAAUAGUAGAUGUUGCAUGACAUUUGCUUAAAAGGUGCAAUUGCAUCACUACCAGAUGGACCUGCGUUGUAUUAGCUAGUUGGUGAGGUAACGGCUCACCAAGGCAACGAUACAUAGCCGACCUGAGAGGGGGAUCGGCCACACUGGGACUGAGACACGGCCCAGACUCCUACGGGAGGCAGCAGUAGGGAAUCUUCGGCAAUGGACGGAAGUCUGACCGAGCAACGCCGCGUGAGUGAAGAAGGUUUUCGGAUCGUAAAGCUCUGUUGUAAGAGAAGAACGAGUGUGAGAGUGGAAAGUUCACACUGUGACGGUAUCUUACCAGAAAGGGACGGCUAACUACGUG